rnacentral:rRNA from 1 species
UGUCGUCAGCUCGUGUUGUGAAAUGUUGGGUUAAGUCCCGCAACGAGCGCAACCCUUAUCCUUUGUUGCCAGCGGUCCGGCCGGGAACUCAAAGGAGACUGCCAGUGAUAAACUGGAGGAAGGUGGGGAUGACGUCAAGUCAUCAUGGCCCUUACGACCAGGGCUACACACGUGCUACAAUGGCGCAUACAAAGAGAAGCGACCUCGCGAGAGCAAGCGGACCUCAUAAAGUGCGUCGUAGUCCGGAUUGGAGUCUGCAACUCGACUCCAUGAAGUCGGAAUCGCUAGUAAUCGUGGAUCAGAAUGCCACGGUGA